rnacentral:rRNA from 1 species
ACUCAAAUGAAUUGACGGGGAGGCGCACAAGCAGUGGAGCAUGUGGUUUAAUUCGAUACGAAGCGAAAAACCUCACCAGGGUUUGACAUGUAUCUGCAAGCGCACGGAAACGUGUGACCUUAGAGGGUGAUACACAGAUGCUGCAUGGCUGUCGUAAGUUCGUGGCGUGAGCUGUACCAUUAAGUUGGGUAACGAACGAAACCCGCAUCAUAUGUUAAAUAAUUCAUAUGAAACUGCUCCGUUUUACGGAGAGGAAGGGGCGGAUGACGUCAAGUCAGCACGGCUCUUACACCCUGGGCUACACACAUCCUACAAUGGCGAACAACAACGAGCAGCAAGCCGGCAACGGCAAGCUAAUCUCUGAAAUUUCGCCUCAGUUCAGAUCGAGGGCUGCAAUUCGCCCUCGUGAAGUCGGAAUUGCUAGUAAUCGCGAAUCAGAAGGUCGCGGUGAAUACGUUCUCGCCUCUUGUACACACCGCCCGU